AGAGUUUGAUCCUGGCUCAGGAUGAACGCUGGCGGCGUGCCUAAUACAUGCAAGUCGAGCGAACUGAUUAGAAGCUUGCUUCUAUGACGUUAGCGGCGGACGGGUGAGUAACACGUGGGCAACCUGCCUGUAAGACUGGGAUAACUUCGGGAAACCGAAGCUAAUACCGGAUAGGAUCUUCUCCUUCAUGGGAGAUGAUUGAAAGAUGGUUUCGGCUAUCACUUACAGAUGGGCCCGCGGUGCAUUAGCUAGUUGGUGAGGUAACGGCUCACCAAGGCAACGAUGCAUAGCCGACCUGAGAGGGUGAUCGGCCACACUGGGACUGAGACACGGCCCAGACUCCUACGGGAGGCAGCAGUAGGGAAUCUUCCGCAAUGGACGAAAGUCUGACGGAGCAACGCCGCGUGAGUGAUGAAGGUUUUCGGAUCGUAAAACUCUGUUGUUAGGGAAGAACAAGUGCCGUUCGAAUAGGGCGGCACCUUGACGGUACCUAACCAGAAAGCCACGGCUAACUACGUGCCAGCAGCCGCGGUAAUACGUAGGUGGCAAGCGUUGUCCGGAAUUAUUGGGCGUAAAGCGCGCGCAGGUGGUUUCUUAAGUCUGAUGUGAAAGCCCACGGCUCAACCGUGG
rnacentral:rRNA from 1 species